AUCUCCCCUCUCUUCUCUUCCCUUUUUUUUCUUUCCCCCUCUCUUCUUUGGAUCUCCCCCUCCUUUCCUCUUUUCCCUUUUUCUUUUUACUGCUUUGUAGGCUGUGCUUUUGCUGGAGGUUUAGGGGUGCUCUUGAUCGAGUGUCUCUGGAUGCCAGCAGGUUUACUUUGAAAAAAUUAGAGUGCUCAAAGCAGGCUAAAAUGCCUGAAUAUUCGUGCAUGGAAUAAUAGAAUAGGAUGUCGAUCCUAUUUUGUUGGUUUUCGGGACUCGACAUAAUGAUAAAUAGGGACAGUCGGGGGCAUUUGUAUUCAAACGACAGAGGUGAAAUUCUUGGACCGUUUGAAGACAAACUACUGCGAAAGCAUUUGCCAAGAAUGUUUUCA
rnacentral:rRNA from 1 species